rnacentral:rRNA from 1 species
GGGGCAGCAUGUCGGUUGCUUGCAACCGAUGAUGGCGACCGGCGCACGGGUGAGUAACACGUAUCCAACCUGCCCUUCACCACGGAAUAAUCCAGUGAAAAUUGGUCUAAUACCGUAUGAGGUCAUACGAUGGCAUCAGAAUAUGACGAAAGGUUUGGCGGUGAAGGAUGGGGAUGCGUCUGAUUAGCUUGUUGGUGAGGUAACGGCUCACCAAGGCGACGAUCAGUAGGGGUUCUGAGAGGAAGGUCCCCCACAUUGGAACUGAGACACGGUCCAAACUCCUACGGGAGGCAGCAGUGAGGAAUAUUGGUCAAUGGGCGAGAGCCUGAACCAGCCAAGUAGCGUGCAGGAAGACGGCCCUAUGGGUUGUAAACUGCUUUUAUAUGGGGAUAAAGUGAGUUACGUGUAGCUUAUUGCAGGUACCAUAUGAAUAAGGACCGGCUAAUUCCGUGCCAGCAGCCGCGGUAAUACGGAAGGUCCAGGCGUUAUCCGGAUUUAUUGGGUUUAAAGGGAGCGUAGGCCGCCCCUUAAGCGUGUUGUGAAAUGCCGCGGCUCAACCGUGGCACUGCAGCGCGAACUGGGGGGCUUGAGUGCACGCAACGCAGGCGGAAUUCGUGGUGUAGCGGUGAAAUGCUUAGAUAUCACGAAGAACUCCGAUUGCGAAGGCAGCUUGCGGGAGUGCGACUGACGCUGAAGCUCGAAGGUGCGGGUAUCGAACAGGAUUAGAUACCCUGGUAGUCCGCACAGUAAACGAUGGAUGCCCGCUGUGUGUCUUAAUGGUACGCGGCCAAGCGAAAGCGUUAAGCAUCCCACCU